CCCUAAUCUUCUUACAGUACCUACCUCACCCUCGCCAUCCUCGUCACAUCCACACAGGGCGACGAAAACCUUUCCAUCACAGCCUAUAACUCCUCUAGUCUUAUUACUUCUCGAUGGGGCUCCUCCUAAAAGGCAUAACCCACUAUGAUCUCGAUAAAGUCAUUGAAAAAUUCAUUACAUAUUUUAAAGGUUCCUCUGUUUCUCUCUUAGAGGCUGAUACUAGCUAAAGUACAAUUCCAAGAUCGAUGUGUACAUCUUCGAAGGUGAAGAGAAUGAGGGAAGAAUGUAGAAAACUGGAGAUUGAGAAGAAAAUUAAGGAUGUUGGUGUGGCUAUUUUACUCACUGCAUAAGGUUUUCAGUAUUUUUUUUUCCUUUUUUGGGAAAUGUAUUGAUUUUUUAGGUGUUUCAGAAUUUUGGAUCUGAAUUUUGUAUGGAUAUUAUUAUAUUUUGGAGUUCAAUUUAUAAUAAUUAUUGGAUUAGUUUGA